CUGAACCAGUGAUUGAGCACCUGGUGGGAAGGCAGGGUCAACCCAGGGGAGCUCAGGUGCAUGCAAUGCACCUGAAUGACCAGAAGGGGUAGAUCCUGGCUCCACCCCUUCCCAGACCUCAUUUAAGUGUUGGCAGUAGAGGCAAGACUAUCUAGCUAGUGUUCCCUGCCUAUUUGAGGCCUUCUGAAGGAGGAAGCUACUGAGUUGAAUGAAUAGAUUACUCCCGAAGAAGAAUGUUGGCUCUACCGUCUGCAAAGCAUUGCCAGUUCGUCUGUGAAUCAUUUAUCAGCUUUUGCACCAAAGCCACUCCACUACACUUCAUACAGUGAUGGCUCAUGGAAUGGGCUGGCCAGGAAGAGGAAGACUGCUCUAAGUCUUCACCUGGACUCAGACAGAAGGCAAGCUCUGCCUUGCAGGCAUAAAGCAUAAACUCUUGCAGUUUCUUCAGCAAGAGAAUGAAUGCUAUGAAAUAAGGAGCUAGUUGUUCUCAGGAAAAUGGAAUGGAAAUGAAAUAGAAAAAAGCCAAACUGUUAAAAUAAAGGAAGAAAGUAUAGUCCUUGUGGGGAGAAC
rnacentral:lncRNA from 1 species